CAGCCGCCACGGUAAUACGAAGGGGGCUAGCGUUGUUCGGAAUUACUGGGCGUAAAGGGCGCGUAGGCGGCCAUUCAAGUUAGGUGUGAAAGCCCUGGGCUCAACCUAGGAAUUGCAUUUGAUACUGUUUGGCUUGAGUUCGGGAGAGGUGAGUGGAAUUCCCAGUGUAGAGGUGAAAUUCGUAGAUAUUGGGAAGAACACCAGUGGCGAAGGCGGCUCACUGGACCGACACUGACGCUGAGGCGCGAAAGCGUGGGGAGCAAACAGGAUUAGAUACCCGCGUAGUCCCUGUCUCUUAUAC
rnacentral:rRNA from 1 species